GCUCUAUUGCUGUGUGCCCCGCGGUGCAAAAUAUGAGAACCCCACUCACGGAUCUCAAAGUUGCAGUGUUUCUCCCUACCUCCGCGAUAUUUUUUACCCUUUUGGUCCAAGUUCUGCUUUGUCGCGCGAUUACAUUUGUUCUUACUCCAUGGUUUGCUUGGUUUUUUGUUAUUUUCUCGUGCGAACUCACUUUGUGCUGCUUCUUCUAGUCUUAGCUUGAUUCUUGUUCACGAAGAAGUUGUUUUCACCGUGUGUUUUGACAGUUUAAUUCUGUUCCAUUUUUCAAAGCGAAUAAACCAUAAUGUCUAAGCGUUCGAAACAGACGGGAAAUUUUUAUAAGAAGCGGGCUCGGUUGAUGGAUGAGGUCGAAAGGAACGUGGAUGCAUUAAACAUCACGCUUGAAACGGCUUCGACUUCUGUUUGGCCGGACCUUGGAGUGGAAGUUACACCAGAAGAUUUGGAAUUGUUGUUUGCAGGAUGUAGUUCGGCAGAGCCAACAACAUCUACCACUACAACUACAUCGAACGCAACUACGACAUCGAACGAUUUUCAUGAAUUUGAAGAUAUCUAUGAUUCGGCAGAUGUUGUGACUGAUGCCAAUGAUCGCUUCGAAUUCAUAAAAAAUUUGAAUUUGAAGGAUGCACUUGUGCAUCUUAUCAUUCUUGACCGUGCUUCACGUUUUUUAACAGAAGGCUUCCUUGCCAUCUUAAGGAAGUUCUUUAAAGCUUAAGUCCCUAAAACAAAAAGAACUUUGCUAAAAACUGAAGCCGAUAUUAAAUCAGAAAUUACACCAAUAAAUGGGGGUAAAUUAUGGUACCGUGGCAUAGAAAAAGUGCUUCUUAAAUAUUUUGAGUAAGUAUUUUUCAAACAUAUUGGUACUAAAUGAAAUUUCUCAUUCAAUGUGUGUAUAUUACAGAGAUAUUGAUCCUGAACCGGACAUAUUUACCAUCGAUGUUUCUAUCGACGGGCUUCCACUGUUUAGAAGUUCCCGUAAACAGCUUUGGUCAAUACAAAUAAGGGUGGUCGAAUUACCAAAAGUUCCACCAUUUGUCAUUGGAACUUAUGGAGGCCCGAAGAAACCCCAUAGUAUUGGAGAAUUUUUGAAUCCUUUAGUGAAGGAAAUAAACGAUCUCCAAAAAAGAGGCCUUCAGUUUAAGCAUAAGUUGGUGCCAAUGUUUCUUCGGGCUUUUAUUGCAGAUUCGCCGAUGCGGGCCACUUUGAAAGGUAUGUUUAUGAUUUUACUAUGGAAGUAAUUAUAGCUUCCAUACCAUAUGUUUCACCAACUUUUCCAUCCGUAUAUUUGCAGCUACAAUGAAUUUCAAUGCAAAACAUGGAUGCUUGAAAUGCACAUGUGUUGGGACAACAAUUCAGGUUGGACCUAAUAAAAAAAAAUUAUUUUAGAUUCCAUCGAUGCACCUCCACGCACGAACGUUGGAUUUAGGCAAAGAGAUGACAAAGCUCAUCAUAAAGAAUGGUGCAGUCCUUUGGAAGCCAUCGAUGACUUUGAUAUGGUCGAAGGAAUGCCAGUGUCCGACAGGUUGCAUUUAUUGGAUGAGGGAAUAUUCCAAAAAAUACUAGUAGGGGUUUGAACAACGUUUUCGAACUAUUAGGCCAUAUUUAUCCUCGUCAGAAGGAAGUAGUAUCUGCCUAUAUAAUCAAAAUUAGGCUUCCCUAUGAAAUACCUCGUAGAAUCCGGUCCCUUGAUGAAAUUGCGCAAUGGAAAGCUACUGAGUACCGUAUCUUCUUCCAUUAUUUAAGCGUAGUUAUACUAGAAGAUUUUUAUCAAUAUGAAGGUUCAUUUAACCAUUUUUUGAUGUUAUUUUCUGCGAUAACAAUAUUUUCUUCAAGGGCCCAUCAACAAUAUUGGUCUCUGGCAAAAAUAAUGUUGGACGAAUUCUUUAGACACUUUGGGAAAUAUUAUGGACGGUCUAACAUAACCAGCAAUGUUCAUAACCUUCAGCAUGUUGCUCAUGAAGUUGAAAAGCUUGGGACUCUGGAUUUAUAUUCCGCAUACGAUUAUGAAAAUAAUUUAAGAUUUAUUAAGCAAGACGUAAAAUCAGGCACUAAUAUAGUUGAACAAGUAGCUGGUCGUCUAACCGAACGCAGUCAAGUAGUAAAAGCCAAAAACAUCGCGAAACUUAUAUACCCGAGACUUAGACCAAACGGCCGUUUCUUUAUUACCGAGGAUUUUUCCCUUCACACACAGUUCCAGAACCAAUGGUUUUUAACUGAAGAAAGGAAUAUUAUUAAAUUUGUAAAAGCAAAGAAAGAUGCUUGUGAUUCCUUUAUAAUUGUUGGCGAUUUAAUCAAAUCAUGUGAGGAACUUUUUAAUGUAGUGUCUGAUGAGGACAAUGUGAUAACAGAUAUACAUUUAUCAUCGACUGAAAUUUGUAUCUACAAAGUUAAGCUUAAUGUUCCUACAAUAAGGGUAGAGGUCCCCUGUACAUCUAUGCUAUGUAAGCUUGUUCCAAUUUUUAAACCAUCGCGGUCUUUAUUGCAAAUGCCUGUAAGGACAACACCCCAGCCAAAUUCAAUAGCUUUAUUUCCUUUGUUACACACGUUUAGGAACGCAUAAUAUGUAAAAUAGUUUAUUAAAAAUUAUUCAACGAAAAACAAGCCGUUUAUUUAUUUACUAAUCGUGAUUUUAACAUUAAUA